GUCGAGUGAUCCUGCGCCGAAGAUUUCCGGGGCUAAAACCUACUACCGAAGCCACGGCAUCAUUUAUGAUGGGUAGGGGAGCUUUCUUUACUGGGCAGAAGCAUGACCGUAAGGACAUGUGGACUGUAAAGAAGUGAGAAUGUUGGCAUGAGUAGCGAGAUGUGGGUGAGAAUCCCACAGGCCGUAAACCCAAGGUUUCCAGGGGAAGGUUC
rnacentral:rRNA from 1 species